rnacentral:rRNA from 1 species
CCUACGGGGGGCAGCAGUGGGGAAUAUUGCACAAUGGGGGAAACCCUGAUGCAGCGACGCCGCGUGAGUGAGGAAGGAGUUCGGGAUGGAAAGCUCUAGCAGCAGGGAAGAAAAUGACGGUACCUGACGAAGAAGCCCCGGCUAACUACGGGCCAGCAGCCGCGGUAAUACGUAGGGGGCAAGCGUUAUCCGGAUUUACGGGGGGUAAAGGGAGCGUAGCCGGCUCAUCAAGUCAGAAGUGAAAACCCAGGGCUCAACCUUGGGAGUGCUUUUGAAACUGAGUAGCUAGAGUGCAGGAGAGGUAAGCUGAAUUCCUAGUGUAGCGGUUCAAUGCGUAGAUAUUAGGAGGAACACCAGUGGCGAAGGCGGCUUACUGGACUGUACCUGACGUUGAGGCUCGACAGCGUGGGGAGCAAACAGGAUUAGAUACCCCUGUAGUC